AGUGAACGCUGGCGGUAGGCCUAACACAUGCAAGUCGAACGGCAGCACAGUAAGAGCUUGCUCUUACGGGUGGCGAGUGGCGGACGGGUGAGGAAUACAUCGGAAUCUACUUUUUCGUGGGGGAUAACGUAGGGAAACUUACGCUAAUACCGCAUACGACCUACGGGUGAAAGCAGGGGAUCUUCGGACCUUGCGCGAUUGAAUGAGCCGAUGUCGGAUUAGCUAGUUGGCGGGGUAAAGGCCCACCAAGGCGACGAUCCGUAGCAGGUCGGAGAGGAUGAGUAGCCACACUGGAACUGAGACACGGUCCAGACUCCUACGGGAGGCAGCAGUAGGGAAUAUUGGGCAAUGGGCGCGAGCCUGAUCCAGCCAUACCGCGUGGGUGAAGAAGGCCUUCGGGUUGUAAAGCCCUUUUGUUGGGAAAGAAAAGCAGCAGGUUAAUACCCCGCUGUUCUGACGGUACCCAAAGAAUAAGCAACGGCUAACUUCGUG
rnacentral:rRNA from 1 species